rnacentral:rRNA from 1 species
AUUGAACGCUGGCGGCAGGCUUAACACAUGCAAGUCGAGCGGAGAUGAGGUGCUUGCACCUUAUCUUAGCGGCGGACGGGUGAGUAAUGCUUAGGGAUCUGCCUAUUAGUGGGGGACAACAUUCCGAAAGGAAUGCUAAUACCGCAUACGUCCUACGGGAGAAAGCAGGGGAUCUUCGGACCUUGCGCUAAUAGAUGAGCCUAAGUCGGAUUAGCUAGUUGGUGGGGUAAAGGCCUACCAAGGCGACGAUCUGUAGCGGGUCUGAGAGGAUGAUCCGCCACACUGGGACUGAGACACGGCCCAGACUCCUACGGGAGGCAGCAGUGGGGAAUAUUGGACAAUGGGGGGAACCCUGGUCCAGCCAUGCCGCGUGUGUGAAGAAGGCCUUAUGGUUGUAAAGCACUUUAAGCGAGGAGGAGGCUACUGAGACUAAUACUCUUGGAUAGUGGACGUUACUCGCAGAAUAAGCACCGGCUAACUCUGUGCCAGCCGCCGCAGUAACAC